rnacentral:sRNA from 1 species
GUGUUUUAUUCUUCCCAAUGACUCUAUCCAUUGUGAGAGAGAACUGUACCAAUCGGCCAGAGCGUGGAAGGACCAUAAGGCAUACAUUGACAAAGAGAUUGAAGCUCUGCAAGAUAAAAUUAAGAAUUUAAGAGAAGUGAGAGGACAUCUGAAGAGAAGGAAGCCUGAGGAAUGUAGCUGCAGUAAACAAAGCUAUUACAAUAAAGGGAAAGGUGUAAAAAAGCAAGAGAAAUUAAAGAGCCAUCUUCACCCAUUCAAGGAGGCUGCUCAGGAAGUAGAUAGCAAACUGCAACUUUUCAAGGAGAACCGUAGGAGGAAGAAGG